AUACUGCUGCAUCCCAUAGUAUUAAUACUCGCUUUUUCUCUUCAAGGCAGGGCAUGAAGGCAAGCUGUAAGAGCACAGCUCCCAGGGAAAUUGUGGUACUGCUUGGUCUGGAAUGCAGAUCUUAGGUUCUCACUGUGGUUCUUGCUAGUUCUGUGGAGGUCUGUCUGCACAUCUGGAGCCAAGGGAAGCGUUUGACAGGAAUUCUAUCCCCAAACUACAGCCCAGCAGUGAGUUCUGGGAUACAGAAGUCCCUGAGAGUUCAAUACAUGGCUUAUGUUCCUUCUCUGAAUUCUGGGUACUUGAACUUCUUCCUAAGACAGCUGGACAGCUAUUGUGUACUUUGACAGCAUGCACUGAAAAUGUUGGAGUCUCUCUCUUCAGUUUUUGGUACUGUUUCUCAGAUUUUAGCUUCUUCAUUGCUGAUUCAUAUGGAGAUGUAGUAGUCUGUUUUGCAAUGCUGACUUGAAAUUGUAAAUGCAAUAUAGACCACACACAGUUUACUGUAAGAAAAAUUAAUAAAAUAUCUGUCUUCAUUUCCAGGCACUAUUUUAAAAAAAGUAAUAAAUCAAUGUAACUCUCUGUAAAGUUAUAGGAUUUAUUAAAGACAACAGCUGUGUUCAAAAUAGCAAAAGUGCAUCUCCAUUAAUUCUGCUAUAUGUUGUUCUCAGAUAAGACUUGUUUUCCACCUGACAG